rnacentral:rRNA from 1 species
CCUACGGGAGGCAGCAGUGAGGAAUAUUGGUCAAUGGCCGUACGGCUGAACCAGCCAAGUAGCGUGAGGGAAGACUGCCCUAUGGGUUGUAAACCUCUUUUAUGCGGGGAUAAAGGUGUCCACGUGUGGAUGUUUGCAGGUACCGCAUUAAAAAGCAUCGGCUAACUCCGUGCCAGCGGCCGCGGUAAUACGGGGGAUGCGAGCGUUAUACGGAUUUAUUGGGUUUAAAGGGUGCGCAGGCGGAGUUUUAAGUCAGCGGUCAAAUCGUGGGGCUCAACCCCAUCCAGACGUUGAGACUGGGGAUCUAGAGUGUGCGAGAGGUAUGCGGAAUGCGUGGUGUAGCGGUGAAAUGCAUAGAUAUCACGCAGAACCCCGAUUGCGAAGGCAGCAUAACGGUGAACAACUGACGCUCAGGCACGAAAGCGUGGGUAUCGAACAGGAUUAGAUACCCGAGUAGUC